rnacentral:misc_RNA from 1 species
UUGUUUAUGGUGUUUGUAAUUGCUGUAAACAUUUAUUGUGAUACAGUGGAGUAGUUUCAAUUGGACCAAGAGAGGUCCCGUGGUUUUUAUCCUUCACUUUGAAGGAGUUUCCCAUAUAAAAAUUGUCGUGUUCUUCUAUGAUUGAAUUGUGCACUUUUGGAUAGCCUAUAAUUAUGAUUAUUUGUUUUAUAUAUUUUCAAUUAUUUUUCUUUACUGGUUAAAACAAGUAAGA